AACGCACCUUGCGCUCCUUGGUAUUCCGAGGAGCAUGCCUGUUUGAGUGUCAUGAAAUUCUCAACCUUGUCAUCAUUUAUGUUGAUCAGGCUUGGAUGUGGGAGUUUGCGGGCUUCUCAGAAGUCGGCUCUCCUUAAAUACAUUAGCGGGACCUUUGUUGCCCAGCUUUAGUGUGAUAAUUAUCUACGCUAUCGUUGAAAGCAGCUUUUAAUGGGGUACAGCUUCCAAUCGUCUCAUUUGAGACAACUUCUGACAAUUUGACCUCAAAUCAGGUAGGACUACCCGCUGAACUUAA
rnacentral:misc_RNA from 1 species